rnacentral:rRNA from 1 species
AGAGUUUGAUCAUGGCUCAGAAUCAACGCUGGCGGCGUGCCUAACACAUGCAAGUCGAACGAGAAAGUGGAGCAAUCCAUGAGUACAGUGGCGUACGGGUGAGUAACACGUGGGUAAUCUGCCUUUUAGUGAGGAAUAACGAUGGGAAACCGUCGCUAAUACCGCAUAAGCCCGAGAGGGGAAAGUCGCAAGACGCUGAAAGAGGAGCCCGCGGCCGAUUAGCUAGUUGGUAGGGUAAGAGCCUACCAAGGCAGAGAUCGGUAGCCGGCCUGAGAGGGCACACGGCCACACUGGCACUGAAACACGGGCCAGACUCCUACGGGAGGCAGCAGUGGGGAAUCUUGCACAAUGGGGGCAACCCUGAUGCAGCGACGCCGCGUGAGCGAUGAAGCCCUUCGGGGUGUAAAGCUCUUUCGGCAGGGAAGAUUAUGACGGUACCUGCAGAAGCAGCUGCGGCUAACUACGUGCCAGCAGCCGCGGUAAUACGUAGGCAGCGAGCGUUGUUCGGAGUUACUGGGCGUAAAGGGUGUGUAGGCGGUUCUUUAAGUUUGGUGUGAAAUCUCCCGGCUCAACCGGGAGGGUGCGCCGAAUACUGAGGGACUAGAGUGUGGGAGAGGAAAGUGGAAUUCCUGGUGUAGCGGUGAAAUGCGUAGAUAUCAGGAGGAACACCGGUGGUGUAGACGGCUUUCUGGACCAUAACUGACGCUGAGACACGAAAGCGUGGGUAGCAAACAGGAUUAGAUACCCUAGUAGUCC